rnacentral:sRNA from 1 species
ACGGCCACGGUGACCGGCGUAUCGGUCCCAAACCCUGCCUCCUCCAGCCAGUUGCCUUUGAGAUGCAGGCUGGGCGUGCGGCUGUAGUACGUGGUCAUACCGGUCGAACGUUUUUCGUGACGGAUGCUG